rnacentral:rRNA from 1 species
GACAGAGGUGCCAAGCGUUAGGCGGAAUCACUGGGCGUAAAGCGCACGUAGGCGGAUGUGCCAGUCAGGGGUGAAAUCCCGGAGCUCAACUCCGGAACUGCCUCUGAUACAGCACGUCUUGAGUCCGGAAGAGGUGGGUGGAAUUCCUAGUGUAGAGGUGAAAUUCGUAGAUAUUAGGAAGAACACCGGUGGCGAAGGCGGCCCACUGGUCCGGUACUGACGCUGAGGUGCGAAAGCGUGGGGAGCAAACAGG